GUUUAGGGUUAUCGUUGGCAACAGAGAGAGUUCCGUUCCAGCCUGGGCUAUGUGAGGCCCUGUCUUAACAAUAGAAACAGCGGGUGAGUGAAUUCUGGAUUGCUGUUAACCUGCAAGAGCCUGACUACCGCUUUCCAAGUGUUACUGAAGAGAUGAAGAAGUGAAUCCACACAUACACAAAGGUCUUUUCUCAACCCUGUAUUGUUUGAGGUCCAAUUUUCUUCACAUGCUGCAGGACCAUCUGCUACCGGCCCCAGCCCAGAUGAUACAGUUGGAGCCUACCCACAGCAUCCUCUCCCGCCUUCAGACGGUUCCAGGAACGAGAGUGAGUCAGACUCAGCUGAAGCACGUCUUGCUAACCCAAGCAAUAGCCCAGGGGCCCAGCAUAGGGGACCACCUGCUCCCAGGGCAGGUGUUCCCUGCAACCUCUCCACACAGGGAAGGAAUCUCACCCUGAGCUUCAUGGGGCACUCAGACCCGCCUUCCAGAUGUGCCCCUUCCCUUUCCAAGGGACUGCAGCCAGCCACAAGUUCAAGCGCAGCUGCUACAGCUCCUGGCCCUGGCAGCUUGUCACAAAGCGCGUCACACAGUGAAGCUGGUGGCUCACAGCUCG
rnacentral:lncRNA from 1 species